rnacentral:rRNA from 1 species
CAGCCGCCACGGUAAAACGGAGGGGGCUAGCGUUGUUCGGAAUUACUGGGCGUAAAGCGCACGUAGGCGGCUUUGUAAGUUAGAGGUGAAAGCCCGGAGCUCAACUCCGGAAUUGCCUUUAAGACUGCAGAGCUAGCAGGUGAGAGAGGUGAGUGGAAUUCCGAGUGUAGAGGUGAAAUUCGUAGAUAUUCGGAAGAACACCAGUGGCGAAGGCGGCUUACUGGCUCAUACUGGACGCUGAGGUGCGAAAGCGUGGGGAGCAAACAGGAUUAGAGACCCCCGUAGUCCCUGUCUCUUAUAC